rnacentral:piRNA from 1 species
UGCAAGGCAUAGAGUGAGCAUUACCAUU